rnacentral:rRNA from 1 species
GAGUUUGAUCCUGGCUCGGGAUGAACGCUGGCGGCGUGCCUAACACAUGCAAGUCGAACGGAGUUUAUGAGGAAGAAGCUUCGGCGGAAUUCUUAUAAACUUAGUGGCGGACGGGUGAGUAACACGUGGAGAACCUGCCUCUUACCGGGGGGACGAGCAGUUGGUAAACGGAACUGAUAAUAACCGCCAUAAGACGCACGAGACCGCAUGGUCCGUGUGUGAAAAGAAUUUA